rnacentral:rRNA from 1 species
AACGCGAAGAACCUUACCAGCUCUUGACAUGGGACGUUUGACCUCGAGAGAUUGGGGUCUUCAGUUCGGCUGGCGUCCACACAGGUGCUGCAUGGCUGUCGUCAGCUCGUGUCGUGAGAUGUUGGGUUAAGUCCCGCAACGAGCGCAACCCCCACCUUCAGUUGCCAUCAGGUUAUGCUGGGCACUCUGAAGGAACUGCCGGUGACAAGCCGGAGGAAGGCGGGGAUGACGUCAAGUCCUCAUGGCCUUUAUGAGCUGGGCCACACACGUGCUACAAUGGCGGUGACAGAGGGAUGCGAAGGGGCGACCCUUGGCCAAUCUCAAAAAGCCGUCUCAGUUCGGAUUGUUCUCUGCAACUCGAGAGCAUGAAGCUGGAAUCGCUAGUAAUCGCGGAUCAGCACGCCGCGGUGAAUACGUUCCCGGGCCUUGUACACACCGAGACGUA